rnacentral:rRNA from 1 species
CCAGACUCCUACGGGAGGCAGCAGUGGGGGAUAUUGCACAAUGGGGGGAACCCUGAUGCAGCGACGCCGCGUGGGCGAUGGAGUACUUCGGUAUGUAAAGCCCUAUCAGCAGGGAAGAAAAUGACGGUACCUGACUAAGAAGCCCCGGCUAAAUACGUGCCAGCAGCCGCGGUAAUACGUAUGGGGCAAGCGUUAUCCGGAUUUACUGGGUGUAAAGGGAGCGUAGACGGCAGCGCAAGUCUGAAGUGAAAUGCCGGGGCUUAACCCCGGAACUGCUUUGGAAACUGUGCAGCUAGAGUGCUGGAGAGGUAAGCGGAAUUCCUAGUGUAGCGGUGAAAUGCGUAGAUAUUAGGAGGAACACCAGUGGCGAAGGCGGCUUACUGGACAGUAACUGACGUUGAGGCUCGAAAGCGUGGGGAGCAAACAGGAUUAGAUCCCCCGGUA